CCCGCUCGCUGCCCGCGGCCCUCGCACGAUGCCGGCGCUGCUUGAGCGGCCGAAGCUCAGCUCGGCCAUGGCGCGGGCGCUGCACCGCCACGUCAUGGUGGAGCGGGAGCGCAAGCGGCAGGAGGAGGAGGAGGUGGACAAGAUGAUGGAGCAGAAGGUUCGGGAGGAGCAGGAGCGGCGCCGGCGCAAGGAGCUGGAGGAGAGGAUGUCCCUGGAGGAGACCCGGGAACAGCUGCUGAAGCUGCAGG